rnacentral:lncRNA from 1 species
GCCCUCUUCAACCUUGCUUUGAAAAACAAUAGGAAUCUGUUGUGUAAAAUUUUAUAGUUGUUUAGGUGUUGAACCAUGAAGUAAAACUGAUUAUCAUAUGAUUGAAAAAUCAAAACAAUUCUUGAUGUUUGAAUACUGAGACCUUGAAUUUUAGCCAAAGUCUUACCCUUCAUGAUCUUUUAUUAUGAAAAUCAUCUUCAAUAAAAAAAUCAUCUACAAGAUUUGGGCAAUGGUAAUGCUCUAGCUCUUCAACCUUGCAUGACGUGUUUGAAAUUAAGCAGCAGCUUUUUUCUAGAACUUGCACUUGACUUCCUUUAUCCAUUCUCUAGGCUAUUAAAUACUUACAGUGUUUCUCUCUCUCUCUCUCUCUCUAAAUAGAAUAAGGUAGAAUUUGCAGUUUAUUUUCUUUAUUGCAUAAAGUAUUGUAGUAUAAUUUCUAAAUUGUGACUUCUCUCAAUAUAAUAUGACUGAUAUUUGCAGAUCCUUCAUUAAUGGGAACAUGUUUGAAACAUUUUAAUAAUGGAAACACAAAUGGAUCAAAUUAUGCUGAAGUUGGAAAUGAGUAAGAGGUUGUUGACACAUGGUGGUGAAUGAGAAUUCGGAUUGUGAUGAAGGCAGCAAGGAGUGACAGAAGGCAUAGAGGUUUUCUGGGCUACUGGACGUGAUACAAGCAGGACUGAUCAGACUUGGCUGGGCUGCUGGACGUGGUACAAGCAGGACUGAUAACACUCAGUGUGCAAUUUGAUUGAUCUGAGGAAGGCUUUAGAAGUUGCAGCUGCUAUGAUUGUUACUCUGGUGUUGCUUUGUUAAGAUUAGUUUGUACAUACUCACUCUUAGGGGUGUACAAGACCCGGCCCUACCCGCCAACCCGUCCCGGCCCAAGUCUUUCGGGAACCCGGCCCGAUCAUUAAAAGAUGCCGGGUUAGGGUUGAUCAUUGAGUUAUCUGGCUUCGGGUCGGGUCGGAUUCGGGUUGACAUACGGGCCACCCGGCCCGUCCCACAUAUAUAAAUUGGGAUUGUGAUGAAGGCAGCAAGGAGUGACCAGAAGGCAUAGAGGUUUGCUGGGCUACUGGACGUGAUACAAGCAGGACUGAUCAGACUUGGCUGGGCUGCUGGACGUGGUACAAGCAGGACUAAUAACACUCAGUGUGCAAUUUGAUUGAUCUGAGGAAGUCUUUAGAAGUUGCGGCUGCUAUGAUUGUUACUCUGGUGUUGCUUUGUUAAGAUUAGUUUGUACAUACUCACUCUGUUUGUACAAGAUUUAGUUUCAA